UACGAAGGGGGCGAGCGUUGUUCGGAGUUACUGGGCGUAAAGGGCGCGUAGGCGGCGAUCCAAGUUAGGCGUGAAAGCCCCGGGCUUAACCUGGGAAUAGCGCUUAAGACUGGACUGCUUGAGUGCGGGAGAGGUGAGUGGAAUUCCCAGUGUAAAGGUGAAAUUCGUAGAUAUUGGGAAGAACACCAGUGGCGAAGGCGGCUCACUGGCCCGCAACUGACGCUGAGGCGCGAAAGCUAGGGGAGCGAACAGG
rnacentral:rRNA from 1 species